rnacentral:tRNA from 2 species
GGGUGAGUGCUGGAAUGGCAUACAGGUUAGUCUCAAAAACUAAUGGUCUUUACGGCCGUGAGGGUUCGACUCCCUCCUCACCCA